UUUGUGUUACGUGUCAAGUGGCAGACUCAUCUUUUAGAAGGAACUGGCAAAUCUCCAGGCUGGUGGGAGGGAUCACACAUGAGCACCUCAGUGACGCACUGUUCUCCAGCUACCAGGAGACCAUCAACUCGCUUCCUGCAGUGAAAAUGGAUAGAGAAUGCUGUGUACCUCAAACACGCGUUGGGCAUUGAGCAGUUCUCAGCUGUUAGAGGAGUAGACCUGGACCCCGCCGACGAUGACUUCUACCACAAGUUUGUCACGGGUAGUGUCUCCAUCCCCUGGCAAAAUGAGAUUUGCUUCAAGAGAAGCUAUAGCAAUGAUGGAGAGGAUCUAUGCUGAACCUGAACCACUGUCUGCCAAAGUGCCACUGAUAUAACAAAGAUAAAUAUUCUACUGUUUUUGUGAACUGUAUUGCAAAUGUAUUAAAAUUAAAUAUAAAAGACAUUUAGUUGAGCAGUUUAAGUACAUUUUUACUUAAACUGUGUGUGUAUAUAUAUACACACACACUAAAAGGCUAUAUUUUCCAAUUAGCCAUAUAAGUACCACUUGAAUCCAGACUUUUCUUUUAUUACAGCCAAUUUUAAACCGUUUUCUUUUUUAUUAUUAUUAUUUUAUAAGCACAGUAUGUUUUUUUA